rnacentral:rRNA from 1 species
UUGAACGCUGGCGGAAUGCUUUACACAUGCAAGUCGAGCGGCAGCGCGGCCUUCGGGCUGGCGGCGAGCGGCGAACGGGUGAGUAAUGCAUCGGAACAUGCCCAGUCGUGGGGGAUAACACUUCGAAAGAAGUGCUAAUACCGCAUACGUCCUGAGGGGGAAAGCGGGGGAUCGCAAGACCUCGCGCGAUUGGAGUGGCCGAUGUCAGAUUAGCUAGUUGGUGGGGUAAAGGCCUACCAAGGCGACGAUCUGUAGCUGGUCUGAGAGGAUGAUCAGCCACACUGGGACUGGGACACGGCCCAGACUCCUACGGGAGGCAGCAGUGGGGAAUUUUGGACAAUGGGGGCAACCCUGAUCCAGCCAUUCCGCGUGAGUGAAGAAGGCCUUCGGGUUGUAAAGCUCUUUCGGCAGGAACGAAACGGUGGGCUCUAACAUAGUCCGCUAAUGACGGUACCUGAAGAAGAAGCACCGGCUAACUACGUG